ensembl:snRNA LOC120099048 U6 spliceosomal RNA
GAGCUCUCACUUCAGCAACACAAACACUAAAACGGGAACGUUACAGAGAUCAGCAGGGCCCCUGGGCAAGGAUGUCACACAAAUCCGCGAGGCGUCCCGUAUUUUU